GACACAAGCUUUUCUAUUUGUUGGUGCCUAUGACAAAAAAGCAGAGCUCAACCUGUCUCCUGUGUGUUCACUGGGCCACAUCAUUUAUGCAUAAUAAUUUUAACUGUCAUAAUGGUGUACAUGUUAAAUUCAGUGACAUGCACUCAGGGAUGUGGUUUGCAAGAAACAUCAAAGCCACCACAUUGUUCAAAAAUAGCUGGUCUUGGACCUUUGAAGGCUAAAAAACCUGAUGUCACUGAGUGAAAUAGAAACAAGUUUUAAGCCAUUCCCCAUUGUCCUACUGCUACAGUUCGUGAUGAAGUGUCCUUCUUCAUCUUCUCUGAAGCUCCCCUUCGGAUACCAAGUGGCUGCUGUGGGAUCUUCAGGCAACAUUCUCUUCUCCUAGAGUCCAUGAUGACUCCUACAACAGAAGGAAAGAUGCCCAUCUCCCCUGCACCUCUGGGAAAAUAAGUGAGAAGAUGGAGUAAGGCUCUUUGCAUCAGGAGGGUGAGAUAAAAUGGGCAGAGAUAAGACUGAGUAACUGAAAAGAAGCUGAAGAGUAGAAAAGAUAACAGCUAACAUGAGUUACCAAUAUUUUGCUGUUACCAAAGCAGCAGAAUCAUCCUGGC